GACGAACGCUGGCGGCGUGCUUAACACAUGCCAGUCGAACGGAAAGGCCCUGCUUUUGUGGGGUGCUCGAGUGGCGAACGGGUGAGUAACACGUGAGUAACCUGCCCUUGACUUUGGGAUAACUUCAGGAAACUGGGGCUAAUACCGGAUAGGAUCUCCUGCUGCAUGGUGGGGGUUGGAAAAUUUCGGCGGUUGGGGAUGGACUCGCGGCUUAUCAGCUUGUUGGUGGGGUAGUGGCUUACCAAGGCUUUGACGGGUAGCCGGCCUGAGAGGGUGACCGGCCACAUUGGGACUGAGAUACGGCCCAGACUCCUACGGGAGGCAGCAGUGGGGAAUAUUGCACAAUGGGCGGAAGCCUGAUGCAGCAACGCCGCGUGCGGGAUGACGGCCUUCGGGUUGUAAACCGCUUUCGCCUGUGACGAAGCGUGAGUGACGGUAAUGGGUAAAGAAGCACCGGCUAACUACGUG
rnacentral:rRNA from 1 species